rnacentral:rRNA from 1 species
UACGUAGGGUGCGAGCGUUGUCCGGAAUUAUUGGGCGUAAAGGGCUCGUAGGCGGUUUGUCGCGUCGGGAGUGAAAACCAUGGGCUUAACUCAUGGCUUGCUUUCGAUACGGGCAGACUAGAGGUAUGCAGGGGAGAACGGAAUUCCUGGUGUAGCGGUGAAAUGCGCAGAUAUCAGGAGGAACACCGGUGGCGAAGGCGGGUCUCUGGGCAACAACUGACGCUGAGGAGCGAAAGCGUGGGGAGCGAACAGG